UACGAAGGGGGCUAGCGUUGUUCGGAAUUACUGGGCGUAAAGCGCACGUAGGCGGACUGUUAAGUCAGGGGUGAAAUCCUGGAGCUCAACUCCAGAACUGCCUUUGAUACUGACGGUCUCGAGUCCGGAAGAGGUGAGUGGAAUUCCUGGUGUAGCGGUGGAAUGCGCAGAUAUCAGGAGGAACACCGAUAGCGAAGGCAGCUCGCUGGGACGGUACUGACGCUGAGGUGCGAAAGCGUGGGGAGCGAACAGG
rnacentral:rRNA from 1 species